UGGUGGAGUGAUUUGUCUGGUUAAUUCCGAUAACGAACGAGAUCUUAUCCUAUUAAAUAGAACUGCAAAGCGUCAUAACGGGUGAAACAGGCGGGACCCCCGCAGAAUUACCUGCGGACCCCGGCUGCGGAUCCCUGAUGACUUGGCAGAGUGACUUCUUAGAGGGACUCUUUGUGAUUAGCAAAUGGAAGUUUGAGGCAAUAACA
rnacentral:rRNA from 1 species